rnacentral:rRNA from 1 species
AACGAACGCUGGCGGCAGGCUUAACACAUGCAAGUCGAACGCAUCCUUCGGGGUGAGUGGCAGACGGGUGAGUAACGCGUGGGAACGUGCCCUUCAGUUCGGGAUAACCCAGGGAAACUUGGGCUAACACCAGAUACGUGCGAGAGCAGAGAGUUUUAUCGCUGGAGGAUCCGCCCCCGUUUGAUUAGCUAGUUGGGGGGGUAAUGGCCAACCAAGGCGACGAUCAGUAGCUGGUCUGAGAGGAUGAUCAGCCAAAUUGGGACUGUGACACGGCCCAAACUCCUACGGGAGGCAGCAGUGGGGAAUAUUGGACAAUGGGCGCAAGCCUGAUCCAGCCAUGCCGCGUGAGUGAUGAAGGCCUAGGGUUGUAAAGCUCUUUCGUCCGGGACGAUAAUGACGGUACCGGAAGAAGAAGCCCCGGCUAACUUCGUGCCAGCCGCCGCGGUAA